CAGCACUUUGGGAAGCCGAGGCAGUUGGACCACCUGAGGUCAGGAAUUCGAGACCAGCCUGGCCAACAUGGUGAAACCCUCUCUCUACUAAAAAAAAACACACGAAAAUUAGCCGGGCGUGGUGGCACGCACUUGUAAUCCCAGCUACUCGGGAGGCUGAGGCAAAAGAAUCGCUUGAACCCGGGAGUUGGAGCUUGCAGUGAGCCGAGAUCUCACCACUACACUCCAGCCUGGGCAACACAGCAAGACUCUGUCUCAAAAAAAAAAAAAAAAAAGCAACAAUGGAUGUGGCUGUGUUGGCUGUUUCUUGCCUGUUUGUUUGUUAUAUUUUUUCCUCUUUCUCCACACUUCUGCAGGGGACGUUAUACAAAUUGAGGGUGGGGGGCAGGCAACCUCACAAGAAAAGCCACUGAGGCCACUUUUGCAGAAUUUGCUCGGCCUUCAGACGUUUCCUCUGCAAGGCAUCCUCAGUGCCCCUUGAUCCUCCAGAGCCCUGAGAGGUUAACAGCAGCAGGUAUGAUUAAGCCCAUUUUAUAGAUGAGGAAAUUGAGGCCCACAGGUAGCUCUGCAGCCUUAAUAACAGCUCCGGUAGCCAGGCCGGGUUCCGGCAAUUAUCCCAUUUCAUGCACAGACAGCCCCAGGCCAGGCAGGGGAGCCCUUAUUACCUCGUUUGAUAGAGGAGGCGUCAGAUGAAGGAAAGGGGUUAUCCAAGGUCACACAAUGGGACCGCUGGCGUGGCUGGAUCUGCUGGGGUCAUGCCCCUGAGAGCGGGCUCCGGCACUAGGAAGGAACCCAGGCAGCCAUGCCUUCCCUGAAAACUCAGUGCUGAAGCUCCCGGAGCAAAGACUGAUGACCAGGUUAGUGCAGCCGGCCCCACUGUGCCUGGGGCCCCUCCGUCCCUGCGCAGCUCCAUGGGCUGGGACAGAGUUCAGAUACGCAUAGCCCUUGCCCCUCCCUGGAGUUAUUUUAUUUUAUUUUCUCUCUCUCUUUUUUUGUUUUGUUGUUUUUUUGAGAUGGAGUCUAGCUCUGUCUCCCAGGCUGGAAUGCAGUGGUGCGAUCUUGGCUCACUGCAACCUCCGCCUCUGGGUUCAAGCUAUUCUCCUGCCCCCUGAGUAGCUGGGAUUACAGGCGCCCGCCACCACACCCGGUUAAUUUUUGUAUUUUUAGUAGAGACGGGGUUUCGCCAUGUUGGCCAGGCUGGUCUCGAACUCCUGAACUCAAGUGAUCCGCCUGCCUCGGCCUCCCAAAAUGGUGGGAUUACAGUCAUGAGUCACUGCGCCCUGCCUAAUUUUUAAAUUUUUGUAGAGAUGGGGUCUUGCUAUGUUUCCCAGGCUAGUCUUGAACUCCUGGCCUCAAGUGAUCCUCCUGCCUUGGCCUCCCAAAGUGCUGGGUUGACACUGGGUGCUGGGUGGGUGGGGCCACCGUAC
rnacentral:lncRNA from 1 species